CGCAUCGUAUAUCUUAUCAGCGGAUAUACGGGUAGUCCGUGUAAAAGUUUCGUUCAUUUAUCGCGUAUUGCCAUGUGAGUUGUGUCGUGGAAACGAUAUGCAACUUUAACUCUUCGCGAGCCGUCGGUUGUUUCGAGUUCGGUACGGAAGUUGUGCGACGGGAAACACGUCGAUUUCUUUCCAUUACGUUUUAACUCGCUAAGAAAUAACUGAAACUUUAAACCUGUACGUUAGGUUAUGUCCUAGUCUAAGAGAAGGCAAAUGAUCGUUGGUGCAAUGCUUUUAUGGUAUUGAGAUAAGUAAAGUAACGUGUAAGAUUAGAGAAAUAGCAUAUAAGGAUUGAAAAGAGAAAAUUUUCACAAUCUCUUUAAAGAUUAUGAUGAUGAUGAUGAUGAUGAUGAUGAUGAUGAUGAUGAGGAUGAUCCUUUCCGUGAUUAUUUAUAUACCAAUAAAUGAUAUAUAUAUAUAUAUUAAUGUUAAUAAAUUGAUAUAUAUUAUUAUGUAUGUAUAGCGAUCGUUAAAGUUAUAAAGUGUUAAAAAUGUCUGUGGAAAUAUUUAUUUGCUUUACAUUAUCUUAGAAAAUAUUUGAAAUAAAAUAAAUCAAUACGCAAUAAAUAAUAUUGAUAGGUGUCGAAGGUAAAAAAUUAAAUAAAUAAACGAAUAAAUAAAUAAAUAAAAAAGAAAUGAGAAAACGUGCAAUGAAUGUCGUAAUUAAAUAAAAAUAAUGAAAGAAACGUACCGUAUGGCGAAGCACGUUGAAAUCCAGCGCCAUCAUAAGCACGCCAUGAGGACAUCAUCGCGACAUUCUGAGCAUAAAAGGGUGCAGCCGCUGCGAGGGUAGAAUGGGGAUGUGCCGUAUGAGGAUGGCCAGCAUGAGGAUGAGCAUGACCCGUGUGUGGACCCAUCGUUGCACUGGAAGCACUCGUGUGACCAGCCAAUGCAUGGUGGGCAGCGUACGUUUCGACGCCAUGUUGCCAAGACGCCGUUUUCUCCCUUCAAAAAUCAUAUUUGUCUUUAAGAUUGGUGAAGCAGAACCGGCAAAGGAAUGAUAUUGGGCUGCCGUGGCUGCAGAAGGGAUUGCUGGUCUGGACGAAGGUACGUAAACGGGGGCUUGCAGUUGUUGUCCGUGUUGCUGUUGUUGUUGCUGAGAUUGUUGCUGAUAGUCGGAGCCUGCGCCGUACCCGCCACUUCCGCCCCCGUGGAACAUCCUUCCCGAGAGCUACGACCACGGCAUCUGUCAGAAUAAAACAUUUUUAUUUUU